AAGUAAAUUAAUCUACUUUUAUAGAACCAAUUUUGAUUGGUUUGAUUGGUUUUGUCUUGUAGUAUGGAACGACUUUUUCAAAGUUUCAAGCGUCAACGUUUUAUUUCGCGCCCUGCUUACUUGGAGCGGGGAAAGUGAAAACAGAAAACCCGGAACGGAUCUCAAGCGGAGAGGAUAUGCAGCGCUCCCCUCCACUCACUAACUGACUCCAGUCCUGCUUUCCGCCUGUACAGCUUUUACAACCGUUGGAACUAUUUUCUUGGGUGGAGAGAAAUGUAUGCAAGAAGAAGCUAAUUUAUGAGAAAUCUCUGUUCACAUUUAAAUUCUGACUGACCUCUUUCUCUAUGAGUGGCAAUGGAUAUUUCACAUUGGGAUCUUGCAAGGUUUUUGGAAACUUGCUUUGCUUCUGAUCUCCAUUGGACCCUCCUGGUUUUAGGAGGAGGAAGAGGACUGUGAUCACCACUAUAGAUAUCCCGAUUAGCACAGGUACUGUCUGCAAAGAAAGGGACUAGAGAGUGUUAAAUUGCAUGAUGGCUGGUACUGAGGAAUAUACCGCAGGCUUCUGGAUUCCACCACAAGGUUCUCCCCAACUCUUCACUCCCAUCAGAACAACACCAGAUGUGUUUGUUAGACAAACGAGAGGUCCAGCAGUCCAGUGAGUCUAGAGUGAAACAAUAUUCCGGAGAAAAGAAACAAAUAGCUUGUGCUGAUUAAUCUCCUUUCGUUGUUACAUCAAAGAAAGCCAUAGGCUGCAACUGAAAUCACAUCUCUCUCUAGGUACUUCUUUUGAAUAUGUAAUUACUUUGCGACAGCUAUGUAUGUUCUGUAUAGCAUGAAUGUAAUGCGGAUGCGCUACAUCUGUCAUGUUGUCACUGUCAUGUUAUUGAUGUUGUUACUGAUGUCACAAGGACUAUUUUAACGAUGUCCUUACUUCCUUUCUGGGCCUUGAAUGUGUCAGUUCCGUUGCUGUCUAUGGAGGGUCAGUAAGCUCUUGAAUUUCAUCAAAGAUAUAUUAAUUUGUGUUCUGAAGAUGAACGAAGGUCUCAUGGGUUUGGAACGACAUGAGGUUUAUAGACACAGUGUGCAUCAGUAAGGAUCCAUUGUGACUGGAUGAUCGCCCCACUGCAUUCAUAACCUGCACCCAAACUAAUGUUCACGUGCCACGACAGUUUCCCAUCAUCCUCUGUUGUCCUUGGGGUAUCCAAUCCAGAGGUAGCAAAGAUGUCAGGCAUUCCAUACGGAGCUGGGAAUUCAGUGGAACAUGUGCAUGAAUGCUUGCGCUGGAUUCCACGCAUUCUAAAGGCCCUCUGAGACAAGGAGUCUCUUUUAGAGCUCAACAAAAAAGUCAAUGUGACUGUGGACAGCAGAAAGGACAAAAGCAAGCGUGUGUGCAGCACAAACCAGCCUGCAAAUGUGUGAAACUGAUCAGAGGUUCCAAUCUCACUGCAUGCAUGCAUUCAUGACCGGACAGACAGGUCACGACUGGACAGAGGAGACACCAGGCAAUGACUGGGCCAACACAAGAGCUGAAGAGUUGUUUUUAC